CGGGUGAGUAAUGCAUCGGAACAUGUCCAUGUCGUGGGGGAUAGCCCGGCGAAAGCCGGAUUAAUACCGCAUACGCCCGAGAGGGGAAAGUGGGGGACCGCAAGGCCUCACGCGAUUGGGUUGGCCGAUGUCCGAUUAGCUUGUUGGUGAGGUAAAGGCUUACCAAGGCGAUGAUCGGUAGCUGGUCUGAGAGGAUGAUCAGCCACACUGGGACUGAGACACGGCCCAG
rnacentral:rRNA from 1 species